CCCAGGAGCACCUAAUCACUGAGCCCCAGGAGUACCUAGUCACUGAGCCACAUCUCCAGCCCUAUUUAUUUAUUUAUUUGUUUAUUUUUAUUUUGAGACGGGGUCUCACUAAGUUGCUCAGGAGCCCUGCUAAGUUGCUGAGGCUGAACUCAAUUUGUGCUCCUCCUGCCUCAGGCUCCCGAGUGGCUGGGAUUACAGGUGUGCGUCACUGUGUCUGGCCAGGUCUGGCGGCACUACUUGUUUCUAUUUCAGUCCUCCACUCAGACCUCCCUCUAUUAACCGCUUCAACCCCAAAGUCAGAGGGCACCAACAUCACAGUAUCGGGUAUGGCAGCUCAGAGCUUGGCUUGGUGACUGCACAGGCAAGACCUUGACCCACUUGAGCCCUGCCUGCCUUUGGGACAGAGCAACAUGGUAGUGCAGUGGUUCUCAAACCUGAACGUGCGUCAGGACUGCUCGAGGCCUUGUUAAAACACAGCUGGCCAGCUCAGUCCUGGGUUGGUGCUGACGCUGCCAAUUGAGGACUCCAGCUGAGAGACCCUGUGUGGUGCAAAGAGCCCAGAAGUGGAAGUGAAGAAAUCUCACCUCCAUCUGCUUUCACAACUUCCUGCCACCAGCUCCUGUGUGUGAACUCUGCGCCUGGCUUCCUCAUUUGUCAAACAAAGGAGAUGGAUCUGGUAAAGGCUUGCUCAGUACUUCUCAAGGAUCUUUCUUCAUGACACCUGUGCUGUCCCGGCAGUAGAAGAGAUUCCUUCCUAUAGCCAUUUCAAACUGUGAAAGAGGGACAGUGGCUGGGAAAGCAUCUGAGUUACUUUCGGGUGUGAAAUAAACACAAUCAAAUUCUUAGAUCCAAGUGUCCACGUGUCCUGCAGGAAUGGUUCCCAGGGAAGCUGAGAUACAGUUCCCUUGUCCCUGAGGCCCUGGAGCCUAGCCAGCCCAUCUUCAGCCUUUCCUGCCUUCAUGGGCCGGGCUGGGAUUUUGUGAGCAUCAUGGUAUGGCUGAGUUUGGGAAGAACGGUUAAGAGGAGUGACAUCUUGCCUUCACCCACUCUGUAAUUCUGAUAUUUUCCAAAUCAAAUCAACUUAGGAAUGAGGGUGGCUAUAUCAAAAAUUAUGAUCAUGAUGUGUUAAUCUAGUUUAUAAAAUGUUAACUGAAAUACUAACACCAGUCUUGAUACUUUUUGACAGGGGA
rnacentral:lncRNA from 1 species